rnacentral:rRNA from 1 species
UACGUAGGGCGCAAGCGUUGUCCGGAAUUAUUGGGCGUAAAGAGCUCGUAGGCGGUUUGUCGCGUCUGGUGUGAAAACUCAAGGCUCAACCUUGAGCUUGCAUCGGGUACGGGCAGACUAGAGUGCGGUAGGGGGUGACUGGAAUUCCUGGUGUAGCGGUGGAAUGCGCAGAUAUCAGGAGGAACACCGAUGGCGAAGGCAGGUCACUGGGCCGCAACUGACGCUGAGGAGCGAAAGCAUGGGGAGCGAACAGG